UGUUUUCGGGGCAGGGUGAAAUUCCCUACCGGCGGUGAAGCCUGAGGGCAAAGUCCGCGAACCUCCGCAAGGAGGCCGAGAGGGUGCAAUUCCCUCACCGACGGUACAGUCCGGAUGAAAGAAAACA
rnacentral:ncRNA from 1 species